CAUCCUCCAAGGCUAAAUACUCCUGACUGACCGAUAGUGAACCAGUACCGUGAGGGAAAGGCGAAAAGAACCCCGGCGAGGGGAGUGAAACAGAACCUGAAACCGUGUACGUACAAGCAGUGGGAGCAUGAGUUUACUCAUGUGACUGCGUACCUUUUGUAUAAUGGGUCAGCGACUUAUAUUCUGUAGCAAGGUUAACCGAAUAGGGGAGCCGGAGGGAAACCGAGUCUUAACCGGGCGUUAAGUUGCAGGGUAUAGACCCGAAACCCGGUGAUCUAGCCAUGGGCAGGUUGAAGGUUGGGUAACACUAACUGGAGGACCGAACCGACUAAUGUUGAAAAAUUAGCGGAUGACCUGUGGCUGGGGGUGAAAGGCCAAUCAAACCGGGAGAUAGCUGGUUCUCCCCGAAAGCUAUUUAGGUAGCGCCUCGUGAAUUCAUCUCCGGGGGUAGAGCACUGUUUCGGCCAGGGGGCCAUCCCGGCUUACCAACCCGAUGCAAACUGCGAAUACCGGAGAAUGUUAUCACGGGAGACACACGGCGGGUGCUAACGUCCGUCGUGAAGAGGGAAACAACCCAGACCGCCAGCUAAGGUCCCAAAGUCAUGGUUAAGUGGGAAACGAUGUGGGAAGGCCCAGACAGCCAGGAUGUUGGCUUAGAAGCAGCCAUCAUUUAAAGAAAGCGUAAUAGCUCACUGGUCGAGUCGGCCUGCGCGGAAGAUGUAACGGGGCUAAACCAUGCACCGAAGCUGCGGCAGCGACACUGUGUGUUGUUGGGUAGGGGAGCGUUCUGUAAGCCUGCGAAGGUGUGUCGUGAGGCAUGCUGGAGGUAUCAGAAGUGCGAAUGCUGACAUAAGUAACGAUAAUGCGGGUGAAAAACCCGCACGCCGGAAGACCAAGGGUUCCUGUCCAACGUUAAUCGGGGCAGGGUGAGUCGACCCCUAAGGCGAGGCCGAAAGGCGUAGUCGAUGGGAAACAGGUUAAUAUUCCUGUACCUGGUGUUACUGCGAAGGGGGGACGGAGAAGGCUAUGUUGGCCGGGCGACGGUUGUCCCGGUUUAAGCGUGUAGGCUGGUUUUCCAGGCAAAUCCGGAAAAUCAAGGCUGAGGCGUGACGACGAGGCACUACGGUGCUGAAGCAACAAAUGCCCUGCUUCCAGGAAAAGCCUCUAAGCCUCAGGUAACAUCAGAUCGUACCCGAAACCGACACAGGUGGUCAGGUAGAGAAUACCAAGGCGCUUGA
rnacentral:rRNA from 1 species